AACGAACGCUGGCGGCAUGCUUAAACACAUGCAAGUCGAACGGACUUGGUAGGGCUUGCUCUACAAGUUAGUGGCAGACGGGUGAGUAACGCGUGGGAAUGUACCUUUUGGUCGGAAUAACUUCGGGAAACUGAAGCUAAUACCGGAUAAGCCCGUGAGGGGAAAGAUUUAUCGCCGAAAGAGCAGCCCGCGUUAGAUUAGGUAGUUGGUGGGUAAAGGCCUACCAAGCCUACGAUCUAUAGCUGGCUGAGAGGAUGAUCAGCCACACUGGGACUGAGACACGGCCCAGACUCCUACGGGAGGCAGCAGUGGGGAAUAUUGGACAA
rnacentral:rRNA from 1 species